UUGCUUCAACAGCAUGUUUACUAAAAUUGGAACAACCCAGAGAAGAUUUAGCACGGCCCCUGCACAAGGAUGACAUGCAAACUCACGAAAUGUUCCGUGUUUUC